rnacentral:rRNA from 1 species
GCGCAAGCCUGGGCCAGCAAUACCGUGUGUGUGAAGAAGGCCUGAGGGUUGUAAAGCACUUUCAAUUGGGAGGAAAACCUGCCGGUCAAUACCCGGCAGGUUGACAUUACCUUUAGAAGAAGCACCGGCUAACUCCGUGCCAGCAGCCGCGGUAAUACGGAGGGUGCGAGCGUUAAUCGGAAUUACUGGGCGUAAAGCGUGCGUAGGCGGUUAUUUAAGUCAGAUGUGAAAGCCCCGGGCUUAACCUGGGAACUGCAUUUGAUACUGGGUAACUAGAGUUUAGUAGAGGAGAGUGGAAUUUCAGGUGUAGCGGUGAAAUGCGUAGAGAUCUGAAGGAACACCAGUGGCGAAUGCGACUCUCUGGACUAAAACUGACGCUGAGGUACGAAAGCGUGGGUAGCGAACAGGAUUAGAUCCCUGGUAGUCACGCCGUAAACAUGUCACUAGCGUGGGCUUUACAGCUUAUGGUGCACUUACGCAUAAGUGACGCUGGGAUCGGCCAGGUUAACUAAUGAUG